GGCAUAGUUCAGUGGUAGAGUGUAUGCUUAGCAUGCAUGAGGUCCUGGGUUCAAUCCCCAGGACCGCCA
rnacentral:tRNA from 1 species